GGUUGUCUCAACGGGUUGUCUUUUAGCGCUAUUUUUUGAAUGUGCGCUGUGCUUUUGUUGUCUGAAGAGUUUGAAUUGUUUUGUCCGUAUUGUGCCAAACAACUGGGGGACGCUCCCAAGUUUUGCCCGUCGUGUGGUCUGAACGUGGGGUUCCUUACGGAUUGUCCAUCCACGUCAUCAAGCCUAGGCCGUGGGCCUACAGAAUCACAACAUGUGGCAGACAGUUCCUGGUAGAAAUUCCUCGUCCUCUUUCUCAAAACUCUUCUUUGUGGCUCUCAACUGGUCGGACUUGCUUGCAAAACAGAGAUGGAUGGCAACUUGGAAAAGGUUGCAUAAUAUCCCUUCAUUCUCAAAACCCAUGGAAAUUUAGCUACACAAGGUAAGUUUUUUUUUAUGGAUAAUUCUGUUUAGUUUUGUAGGAUUGACAGUUUUAGUACUGUUUUGGACUUCCAUUUGA